UACGUAGGGCGCAAGCGUUAUCCGGAAUUAUUGGGCGUAAAGAGCUCGUAGGCGGUUUGUCGCGUCUGCCGUGAAAGUCCGGGGCUCAACUCCGGAUCUGCGGUGGGUACGGGCAGACUAGAGUGAUGUAGGGGAGACUGGAGUUCCUGGUGUAGCGGUGAAAUGCGCAGAUAUCAGGAGGAACACCAGUGGCGAAGGCGAGUCUCUGGGAUGAUGCUGACGCUGAGGCGCGAAAGCCAGGGGAGCAAACGGG
rnacentral:rRNA from 1 species